UACGGGGGGGGUAAGCGUUGUUCGGAAUUACUGGGCGUAAAGGGCUCGUAGGCGGCCAACUAAGUCGGACGUGAAAUCCCUCAGCUUAACUGGGGAACUGCGUCCGAUACUGGAUGGCUUGGAUUUGGGAGAGGGAUGCGGAAUUCCAGGUGUAGCGGUGAAAUGCGUAGAUAUCUGGAGGAACACCGGUGGCGAAGGCGGCAUCCUGGACCAAUAUUGACGCUGAGGAGCGAAAGCCAGGGGGGCAAACGGG
rnacentral:rRNA from 1 species